UACGUAGGGAGCAAGCGUUGUCCGGAAUCAUUGGGCGUAAAGCGCGCGUAGGUGGCUCUGUAAGUCCGUUGUGAAAGUCAAAGGCUCAACCUUUGAAAGCCGAUGGAUACUGCAGAGCUAGAGUCCGGAAGAGGCGAGUGGAAUUCCUGGUGUAGCGGUGGAAUGCGCAGAUAUCAGGAGGAACACCAAUAGCGAAGGCAGCUCGCUGGGACGGUACUGACACUAAGGGCGCGAAAGCGUGGGGAGCGAACAGG
rnacentral:rRNA from 1 species